CCUACGGGGGGCAGCAGUCGGGAAUAUUGGGCAAUGGAGGAAACUCUGACCCAGCAAUACCGCGUGAAGGAUGAAGGUUUUCGGAUUGUAAACUUCUUUUGUCAAGGGACAAAAUCAGGCUCGAGAGCCUGACCGAGGGUACUUGAAGAAAAAGCAUCGGCUAACUCCGUGCCAGCAGCCGCGGUAAUACGGAGGAUGCGAGCGUUAUCCGGAUUGAUUGGGUUUAAAGGGUGCGUAGGCGGGCUGUUAAGUCAGCGGUAAAAGCCCGGGGCUCAACCCCGGCGAGCCGUUGAAACUGGCUGUCUUGAGAUGUCGAGAGGUAUGCGGAAUGCGCAGUGUAGCGGUGAAAUGCUUAGAUAUUGCGCAGAACUCCGAUUGCGAAGGCAGCAUACCGGCGGCGAUCUGACGCUGAGGCACGAAAGCGUGGGUAUCGAACAGGAUUAGAUACCCUUGUAGUC
rnacentral:rRNA from 1 species